GAUGAACGCUGGCGGCGUGCCUAACACAUGCAAGUCGAACGAAGCUCUUACGACGGAACUCUUCGGAGGGAAGAUGUUUGAGACUUAGUGGCGGACGGGUGAGUAACGCGUGGGUAACCUGCCCUGUACAGGGGGACAACAGUUAGAAAUAGGUGCUAAUACCGCAUAAGCGCACAGUAUCGCAUGAUACAGUGUGAAAAACUCCGGUGGUAUAAGAUGGACCCGCGUCUGAUUAGCUAGUUGGUGAGGUAACGGCUCACCAAGGCGACGAUCAGUAGCCGGCCUGAGAGGGUGAACGGCCACAUUGGGACUGAGACACGGCCCAAACUCCUAACGGGAGGCAGCAGUGGGGAAUAUUGCACAAUGGGGGAAACCCUGAUGCAGCGACGCCGCGUGAGUGAAGAAGUAUUUCGGUAUGUAAAGCUCUAUCAGCAAGGAAGAAAUGACGGUACUUGACUAAGAAGCCCCGCUAACUACGUG
rnacentral:rRNA from 1 species